rnacentral:rRNA from 1 species
ACGGAGGGUGCAAGCGUUGUUCGGAAUUAUUGGGCGUAAAGCGCGUGUAGGCGGUUUGUUAAGUCUGAUGUGAAAGCCCCGGGCUCAACCCGGGAAGUGCAUUGGAAACUGACCAACUUGAGUACGGGAGAGGGAAGUGGAAUUCCGAGUGUAGGAGUGAAAUCCGUAGAUAUUCGGAGGAACACCGGUGGCGAAGGCGGCUUCCUGGACCGAUACUGACGCUGAGACGCGAAAGCGUGGGGAGCAAACAGG